rnacentral:rRNA from 1 species
UACGGAGGGGGCUAGCGUUAUUCGGAAUUACUGGGCGUAAAGCGCACGUAGGCGGCUUUGUAAGUAAGAGGUGAAAGCCCAGAGCUCAACUCUGGAAUUGCCUUUUAGACUGCAUGGCUUGAAUCAUGGAGAGGUCAGUGGAAUUCCGAGUGUAGAGGUGAAAUUCGUAGAUAUUCGGAAGAACACCAGUGGCGAAGGCGGCUGACUGGACAUGUAUUGACGCUGAGGUGCGAAAGCGUGGGGAGCAAACAGG